AGAGAUGUGUGAUGACGCAUAUCAAUAAGCGGAGGAAAAGAAACUAACAAGGAUUCCCUUAGUAACGGCGAGUGAAGCGGGAAGAGCUCAAAUUUGAAAUCUUCAAGGUUCUACCUUGACGAAUUGUAGUUUAUAGAAGUGUUUUCUGUUAGUAGGAGUGGCAAAAGUUCUUUGGAAUAGGACAUCAUAGAGGGUGAGAAUCCCGUAUUUGGUCAUUCUCUCCUAGCUUUGUGAUACACUUUCAACGAGUCGGAUUGUUUGGGAAUGCAGUCCAAAAUGGGUGGUAAAUUUCAUCUAAAGCUAAAUAUUGGCGAGAGACCGAUAGCAAACAAGUACCGUGAGGGAAAGAUGAAAAGAACUUUGAAAAGAGAGUUAAACAGUACGUGAAAUUGUCAAAAGGGAAGCGUUUGACACCAGUGUUGUUUUUCCGAAAAUCAAUUACGAAUGUUUUGUUUUUGAGGAGUUAUGACUUCAUCGGCUUGCUCCUUUCUUUACGAAACUUUCUUAAUGCACUUUUCGGUUAACAAGUCAACAUCAAUUUCUUUUGUUGUAAAAGGGUACGAGGAAGGUGGCUUUCUUUUCGGAGAAAGUGUUUAUAGCCUUGUGCCUCUGCAAUCGGAGAGAUUGAGGUCUGCAGCGUAGAUCCUUCGGGGUUAGAUACAUUUGUGCUAAGUUAUAGCUUUUCAUAGACAACUUGUUGACUAUGUUUAGUCUUGUAGCUUACUCGCUUAUACUAUUUUACCUACGCUUAGGAUGUUGAAGAUGUAGCACAUCU
rnacentral:rRNA from 1 species